rnacentral:rRNA from 1 species
GACAGAGGGUGCAAACGUUGUUCGGAAUUACUGGGCGUAAAGCGAGUGUAGGCGGUCUGAUAAGUCGGGUGUGAAAGCCCCGGGCUCAACCCGGGAAGUGCACUCGAAACUGACAGGCUAGAGUAUCGGAGAGGUUGGUGGAAUUCUCGGUGUAGAGGUGAAAUUCGUAGAUAUCGAGAGGAACACCGGUGGCGAAGGCGGCCAACUGGACGAAUACUGACGCUGAGACUCGAAAGCGUGGGGAGCAAACAGGAUUAGAAACCCUCGUAGUCC